GUCAUAAGCUAUCUAUGUAUGCUUUGGAUGUUGUUUUUGGAGUUUAAUCUAGUUGUUAAGCUCCUUUAUGCAUGGUUAAGGGUUAAUGCUUGGUUUUGAGAAGUUUAUGCAUGUUUUAAGAGGUUGGAUGCUUGUUUUGGGGGGUUGGGAGGCUUGUAUGCACAAGGGCUGAGUUCUGGAAGAACUCAGGUUCGGCCGCCGAA
rnacentral:lncRNA from 1 species